rnacentral:lncRNA from 1 species
UGGGAAGUUCCAUUCUGGGGAAUACAGAAAGGGAUUCAAAGGAUGUUUUUAAUGUGGUCAAAUGGGUCAUCAAAGAAGGGAUUGUCCUAAGAAUACUCAAGCUAGUAGUCUUCCACCAAGGCCAAAUGCUUCAUGGGGAUUCCAAGCUAAAAAUGACAAUUAUAUUACUAAUGCACAAGUAAAUCAGGUGGAGACUAAUACUAGUAGGUAGAAUGCUAUACCAGGUAGGCAAAGAGCCGAAGCAAG